rnacentral:rRNA from 1 species
GACGAACGCUGGCGGCGUGCUUAACACAUGCAAGUCGAACGAUGAAGUUCCUUCGGGAAUGGAUUAGUGGCGAACGGGUGUGGAACACGUGAGAAACCUGCCUUUCAUUUUGGGAUAACUCCGGGAAACCGGGGCUAAAACCGAAUACUCCGUCUCGGCGGCAUCGCUGAGCCGGGAAAAAAUUUUGAUGAAAGAUGGUCUCGCGGCCUAUCAGCUAGUUGGUGAGGUAAUGGCUCACCAAGGCAACGACGGGUAGCCGGCCUGAGAGGGCGACCGGCCACACUGGGACUGAGACACGGCCCAGACUCCUACGGGAGGCAGCAGUGGGGAAUAAUGGGCAAUGGGCGCAAGCCUGACCCAGCGACGCCGCGUGAGGGAUGAAGGCCUUCGGGUUGUAAACCUCUUUCAGUAGGGAAGAAGCGAAAGUGACGGUACCUAAAGAAGAAGCACCGGCUAACUAUGUGCCAGCAGCCGCAGUAA